ACCGCCCCUGCGUGGAGCCCGGGGAGACCCCACGGCCCGGCCUUCCUGGGCCUGGGACCCGAGGGGAGCCGAGCGGGAAUUGCUUUCCUGGUUCGAUCCGCUGCCGCUGUGAGGGCCGAGCGGAAACCCGUAGACCUUUUAUGUGAAGAGAUUGCGGCCUCCUGGUCACCAGUCACCGAGAGAGGGACCCCUGGACCGCCUACGUGGUGGUGUCUGCCGCAGGCCAUAGGGAUCCAGCCCACUUAGGCAGUCCCUUGGGGACGCGGCCUUCCCUCCGGAGCGGAAAGGCGCUUCCCGCCCGCCCUGCGGUAAUCCCGGAAGCCCUCAGCCGUUAAGCUAAAAUUUCUGUUGCUUUGGCUACUGAUGGAAACCUGUUGACAUGCGAGCCAGAGAAGUGUUAUGAAGGAAGAAGAGGCAUAAGAAGGCUCCCUCUUGAGAUAAUCUGAAGAAUUGGCCAGAUUGAAAACCUUUUAAAAUCAAAACCCCUGAUUUGUUGAUAAAUCUUACUGUUCAACCUAUAGGUUCCCUUUGGAAAUUGAUUUUGAAAAGUGAAAAAUUCCAUUAUAAUGUUAAAAAGCCUCUUCCAAUUUGUCCAUUUUGUAAGUUUUAAAAUACCGAUAAUUAUAUUUCUUAACCUCAGGAUUUACAAAGUAAAGCAUUUAACCUCAA
rnacentral:lncRNA from 1 species